rnacentral:rRNA from 1 species
CCUACGGGGAGCUGCAGUGAGGAAUAUUGGUCAAUGGUCGGGAGACUGAACCAGCCAAGCCGCGUGAGGGAUGAAGGUACAGAGUAUCGUAAACCUCUUUUGUCAGGGAACAAAGGCGGGGACGUGUCCCCGGAUGAGUGUACCUGAAGAAAAAGCAUCGGCUAACUCCGUGCAAGCAGCCGCGGUAAUACGGAGGAUGCGAGCGUUAUCCGGAUUUAGUGGGUUUAAAGGGUGCGCAGGCGGUCUGUUAAGUCAGCGGUCAAAGCCCGGGGCUCAACCCCGGCCCGCCGUUGAAACUGGCAGUCUCGAGUUGGAGAGAAGUAUGCGGAAUGCGCGGUGUAGCGGUGAAAUGCAUAGAUAUCGCGCAGAACUCCGAUUGCGAAGGCAGCAUGCCGGCUCCACACUGACGCUGAGGCACGAAAGCGUGGGUAUCGAACAGGAUUAGAUACCCCAGUAGUC